rnacentral:rRNA from 1 species
CGGUCCAGACUCCUACGGGAGGCAGCAGUGGGGAAUAUUGCACAAUGGGCGCAAGCCUGAUGCAGCCAUGCCGCGUGUGUGAAGAAGGCCUUCGGGUUGUAAAGCACUUUCAGCGGGGAGGAAGGCGGUGAGGUUAAUAACCUCAUCGAUUGACGUUACCCGCAGAAGAAGCACCGGCUAACUCCGUGCCAGCAGCCGCGGUAAUACGGAGGGUGCAAGCGUUAAUCGGAAUUACUGGGCGUAAAGCGCACGCAGGCGGUCUGUCAAGUCG